CCCUACAGCCAUAUCAUCCUGAAGCCCAAGACUGGUUACUCACUGAAGCUAAACAGGGCUGAACCCGGUCAGUACCUGGAUUGGAGACCACAUGGUAAAACUAAGCUGCUGUUGGAA
ensembl:rRNA 5S_rRNA 5S ribosomal RNA